UUGGAGGGCAAGUCUGGUGCCAGCAGCCGCGGUAAUUCCAGCUCCAAUAGCGUAUAUUAAAGUUGUUGCAGUUAAAAAGCUCGUAGUUGAAUUUCGGGGUCAGCAAGUUGGUCGUGCCACUGGUAUGCACUGGCUUUGCUGAUUCCUCCUUCUUGAAGAACCGUAAUGCCAUUAAGUUGGUGUUGCGGGGAAACAGGACUGUUACUUGGAAAAAAUUAGAGUGUUUAAAGCAGGC
rnacentral:rRNA from 1 species